rnacentral:misc_RNA from 1 species
AAAUUAGGGUUUUUGCUACCGAGCCUUUGUCGCCGUUCAGUUCAUCUUCAUUUGCAAACCCUCAAUCAUGGCGGAGCAGACGGAGAAGGCGUUUUUGAAGCAGCCAGGUGUUUUUCUAAGCUCUAAGAAGACCGGGAAGGGAAAGAGGCCAGGAAAGGGAGGCAAUCGAUACUUUAAGAGUAUCGGUUUAGGAUUCAAGACUCCUCGUGAGGCUACUGAAGGUACAUAUAUUGACAAGAAAUGCCCAUUCACUGGCAAUGUUUCUAUCCGAGGUCGUAUCCUUGCUGGUACAUGCCACAGUGCUAAGAUGAACAGAACCAUCAUUGUUCGACGCAAUUACCUACAUUAUGUCAAGAAGUAUCAGAGAUACGAGAAGAGGCACUCCAAUAUUCCAGCUCACAUAUCACCAUGCUUCCGUGUGAAAGAGGGA